rnacentral:snRNA from 1 species
GAUCAAGCAGUGAUCUGAUAAAAUUGGAACGAUACAGAGAAGAUUAGCCCUGCGCAAGGAUGACACACACAAAUCGAGUGACAUUCCGAACAUGU